rnacentral:piRNA from 1 species
GAAGAUUCACGUUACCUUGCUGUGC